rnacentral:pre_miRNA from 1 species
AAAGUACUCCCUCCGUCCCAAAAUUCUUGUCUCAGAUUUGUCUAGAUACGGAUGUAUCAAGUCACAUUUUAGUAUUAGAUACAUCCGUAUCUAGACAAAUCUAAGACAAGAAAUUUGGGACAGAGGGAGUAGGUG